rnacentral:rRNA from 1 species
UACGUAGGGGGCAAGCGUUGUCCGGAUUUAUUGGGCGUAAAGAGCGUGUAGGCGGCCAUGCAGGUCCGUUGUGAAAACUCGAGGCUCAACCUCGAGACGCCGAUGGAAACCGUGUGGCUAGAGUCCGGAAGAGGAGAGUGGAAUUCCUGGUGUAGCGGUGAAAUGCGCAGAUAUCAGGAAGAACACCCGUGGCGAAGGCGGCUCUCUGGGACGGUACUGACGCUGAGACGCGAAAGCGUGGGGAGCGAACAGG